rnacentral:rRNA from 1 species
AAGUCGUAACAAGGUUUCCGUAGUGAUCCUUCGAAGCCUUUCACAUGAACGACUCUAACAGAAUCAUGUGCAGUCCCUUAACCGUUAUCAAGGGCUACGUCACCGAAGUGCUGGAAUACAAAGUUCUGUAAAUCAGCAGCCAAACGGAACUGACCCUCUGUUUGGUUCACAGAUUAGCUAGUGACGGUCAGUGAGCGAUCAAGAGAGAUUCGAGGAAAUAUUGUGGGUUGAAAAUGUUGAGAUUAUAUCAUCCUCUUAGGAGAGAAUCUAAAAAAUCCUUUGAACCCCCAAACCGGGUCUCAACCACAACAUCUUUGCUUCUACAUUUGACCAUAUUUCUUUAGAUCUUGGAAAUAACAUCGCCACCGAUUAAGAUAUAAUCGGUCUCUGUUUUAUUUUAUAGAGACGACACGUUCCGUAGGUGAACCUGCGGAAGGAUCAUUAUCGAGUCAGGGUCCUUUGGGGCCCCAUCUCCAACCCUUGCUUAUUCUACCAUGUUGCUUUGGCGGGCCCGUCCUUAACUGGACCGCCGGGAAUCCACGUUCCCCAGGCCCGUGUCCGCCAGUAGCCCCGAUAAAUUCUUCCUCACAGUGACGUCUAAGUACCAUUGUAAUAACUUAAAACUUUCAACAACGGAUCUCUUGGUNCUGGCAUCGAUGAAGAACGCAGCGAAAUGCGAUAAGUAAUGCGAAUUGCANAAUUCCGUGAGUCAUCGAAUCUUUGACGCACAUUGCGCCCUCUGGUAUUCCGGAGGGCAUGCUGUCGAGCGUCAUAUCACCUCAAGCUCGGCUUGUGCUGGCCACACCGUCGAGAGACGGUGGGUCCGAAAGAUAAUGGCCGAGUCUGGAGGACCCUGGGUGCAGCGAGCUUUUUGGCACGCGUCCAGAGGUGUUCUGGCUUGGUCUUAACCAUCAAUUUUUUCUGGUUGACCUCGGAUCAGGUAGGGAUACCCGCUGAACUUAAGCAUAUCAAUAAGCGGAGGAAAAGAAACCAACAGGGAUUGCCUCAGUAACGGCGAGUGAAGCGGCAACAGCUCAAAUUUGAAAUCUGGCUCCGUAGGGGUCCGAGUUGUAAUUUGGAGAGGAUGCUUCGGGCAAGGCUGCGGUCUAAUUCGCUUGGAACAGCGAGUCACAGAGGGUGAGAAUCCCGUCUAGGAUCGUGGGCCGCGUCCGUGUGAAGCUCCUUCGACGAGUCGAGUUGUUUGGGAAUGCAGCUCUAAAUGGGUGGUAAAUUUCAUCUAAAGCUAAAUAUGGGCCAGAGACCGAUAGCGCACAAGUAGAGUGAUCGAAAGAUGAAAAGCACUUUGAAAAGAGAGUUAAACAGUAUGUGAAAUUGUUGAAAGGGAAGCGCUUGCAACCAGACUUGUGACUGACGGUUCCCCCGGCCUUCUGGCCGGGCUACUCCGUCACGUCCAGGCCAACAUCGGUUUGGGUGGUCGGUGAAAGAUCCCGGGAACGUAUCAACCUUUGGGUUGACUUAUAGCCCGGGGUGCAAUGCGACCCACCCGGACCGAGGAACGCGCUCCGGCUCGGAUGUUGGCGUAAUGGUUGUAAGCGGCC